rnacentral:lncRNA from 1 species
ACUGAGAUAGUACGGGAACCUAUGAGUUACAUGCAUAGUUUCUUCCACACAAACAAAAGGCUGUCUAGCAAUACCCCUGGCCUUCUUUCCAGAGCCAGUUUUUCUAACAGUGAACACAUUUGCCAUCUGAGUAGCCUGAGAUAUUCCCAACAUCCAGUGCUGGUGGUUCUUUCUAUACUUAUCAGUUCAUUCUUCAAUUUAGCUCUUCUUGCCACUUUACUAUAAACAGGAAGAAACCAGGCUACAACUUCAACACUUACUUAGAAUUCUCAGCUCAAUAUGAAAAAGUUUUAAGUUCUGCCUUAUAUACAACUGUAGGACACAAUUCAGCCAAGCUUUCUAUCACUUAUAGAAAGGAUCUCUUUCCCUCCAGUUUAUAUGUUCCUAAUUUGCUUCUGAGCCCUAACCAGAAGCACCUUUAAAACCCAUAUUUUUGCCAACAGUCUUUAAAGGCAACAUAUGCAUUUUCUAUCAUGUGACUCAAAACUGGGCAGUCUGAAAUCAGUAUCACUGGGCUGAAAGCAAGGUGUCAGCAGGGUGUCCAUUCUCCUGGAGUCUUUAGCGGAGAGUCUGCUCCUUGUCUCUUACAGCUUCUGGUGGCUGCGAGGAUUCCUUGGCUUCAGCCUACAUCACUUCAAUCUUCAACGCCAACAUUUCCAAAUCUCUCUCCUCUGUCUUUACUUAGCUUCCUUCUCCUGUCUGUGCUAUAUGCUAAAAUUUCCCUCUGCCUCUCUAAGAAAACAUGUGAUGGCAUUUAAGGCCCACCAGAUAAUCCAGAGUAAACGCCCCAUUGCAAGAUACUUAAUCACAUCUGCAAAAGCCCCGCCGUCCUUGUCAUAUAUGGGCACAUUCAAAUUCCAGGCACUAGAAUACAGAUUGUUUUUCAUGGAGAGAGGACAGAAGGGAUUUUUCAGCCUACCAUACAAACUCAUUUAAAAGAAAGCCAUCUCGCCAUUGCAAAGCAAACUCUGGUUUAUUUUAAACUUAUGUAUGUGGUACACAUUUAAUAUAUAAGCAACUUUCAAACAUGGCAUAUCUUUUCUUCUCUCAAACUGCUGAGAUAACAAACUGGUGAGAUACAAAGUGGUAUAACACGAUGAACUUGGCAAGGGGUGAGAAGAAAACUAUUUCAUUAGUAAAGAGAUCUGUAAAUCUAGAAUUUAUAACUUGCAUAUACUUUAAAACCCCAAACACCCACAUCUCCCAUCAAAAGUAAUUUGUCCUUCCUUUGACCAGUAUGUUACCUAAAAUUUUAUUAGAAAUUAUCAAUCUAUCAAUCUAUUAUUAUAGUUUAGGCGUUUACACCAGAUUCACUAACCAGGUUGUACGGUUUGUAUUUUACAAUCUUGACAAGGGUAUAGA